rnacentral:rRNA from 1 species
AGAAUCAACGCUGGCGGCGUGCCUAACACAUGCAAGUCGAACGGGAAAGUGGAGCAAUCCAUGAGUAAAGUGGCGCACGGGUGAGUAACACGUGACUAACCUACCCUUGAGUGGGGGAUAACCUAGGGAAAACCUGGGCUAAUACCGCAUAAUACCUUCGGGUCAAAGGAGCAAUUCGCUUAAGGAGGGGUCGCGGCCGAUUAGUUAGUUGGCGGGUAAUGGCCCACCAAGACUGUGAUCGGUAUCC